rnacentral:rRNA from 1 species
UACGAAGGGGGCUAGCGUUGCUCGGAAUUACUGGGCGUAAAGCGCACGUAGGCGGAUUGUUAAGUCGGGGGUGAAAUCCUGGAGCUCAACUCCAGAACUGCCUUCGAUACUGGCGAUCUCGAGUUCGGGAGAGGUGAGUGGAACUGCGAGUGUAGAGGUGAAAUUCGUAGAUAUUCGCAAGAACACCGACGGCGCAGGCAGCGUCCUGGCCGCUUGCUGACACUGAGGCACGAAAGCUGGGGGAGCAAACAGG